rnacentral:lncRNA from 1 species
CCGAGUUGUCGAGCAGCGUGGCGUGGAAGGGCGAGUGCAUGACGCGGCGGAAGCGCUCAAACUGCCUGCGGGUGUGUACAAAGGUGCGCUCGUGUGAACAUGUGUGUCCUAUCUGGACCGGCACAAGAGUGCCGUUUGCGCCGCAAACCUGCCCCAUCCAUAACAACCCCAGGCCCCAGCCACUGCAGCUGGCGUGUAGCCCCGCCAACCAGACGAACAAAGCUCAAGGCGUCCAAGCUAUAGGAUCAUGCCGAAGCUCCUCCGUGCUCGUGCGUGGACUGGUUCUGGGUCUUGGUUUACUUGGGAUUGGAACAUGGCAAACUACCCCCGCCCCCCCCCCCCACGCCGCGUGUGUCCUGCAGGUACCGGCCCGCGCACACGCACCCGAGGUCCAAGCUCCUCCUGCGUGCACGCAGCGUGGCAAUGGUGGGUGUGCAGAUUCAGACACUGCCGGGAUGGGGGCGAGCCCUUCCCCAGGCACUCAAACACACCCCACCACACGCGCCGGUCUCCCACCUCCCGCCCGGCUCCUCCCGUUCCCUGAAUUCCCGAUACCCCCUCGCUCCACCCCCCUCCCCCCUUGGCCCCCUCACCCGAAGUACUUUGUACGCUGGAAGGGGUCGAAGUUCGCGAACCGGUACAUCACCUCGACGCCGUGGUCUGCAGGCCGGAGGUGUGGUGCGUGUGUGCGCGCGCAGGUUCAUAUAAGCCCAAGGCCAAUGAAAUAGAUCCCAAUGGUCAAGGAAUCGUGUGUAGGGGGCCCUUGCAUUAGCACCUGGUUACUGGCAAGUGUAUGAGUUGCAGGGUCGUGACCCCACUGCAGGUCCGCGACCAUCAAUCGGGUGAGCCGCAGGCUGGCCCGGCGGCACUGGCACUGGCGCUGGCAGCGGCACGCAUCCACUCAGCCCUCCCUGGGGACUUGUGUUCUGGUCCCGCCGUCUUGUGCCUGGUGCCUGUGCGACGC